UCUACGGGUGGCUGCAGUAGGGAAUCUUUCACAAUGGGCGAAAGCCUGAUGGAGCAACGCCGCGUGCAGGAUGAAGGCCUUCGGGUUGUAAACUGCUUUUAUAAGCGAGAAAUAUGAUGGUAACUUAUGAAUAAGGAUCGGCUAACUACGUGCCAGCAGCCGCGGUCAUACGUAGGAUCCGAGCAUUAUCCGGAGUGACUGGGUGUAAAGGGCGUGCAGCCGGAGAGACAAGUCAGAUGUGAAAUCCACGGGCUCAACCCGUGAACUGCAUUUGAAACUGUUUCCCUUGAGUGUCGGAGAGGUAAUCGGAAUUCCUUGUGUAGCGGUGAAAUGCGUAGAUAUAAGGAAGAACACCAGUGGCGAAGGCGGAUUACUGGACGAUAACUGACGGUGAGGCGCGAAAGCGUGGGGAGCAAACAGGAUUAGAUACCCCAGUAGUC
rnacentral:rRNA from 1 species